AGCCAAUCCGGUGCCAGCGCGGCUGGAACCCGGCCGACAGAAGAUGGCGGAUGAGCAGCGUGCAGGGUUUUCUCCCUGUGGCUCACUCUCUCUUACUGUGCUGGGCGGUUGCUUCCUCUCCUGCUGCCCUUGGGAGUCAGACUCCAGGUUCUUCAGCCUGUGGCCCCUGGGGCUCUCGGGCCUUGGAGGACUGACUAGGAGCACACGGUGGGCCUCUCUGGUUUGGGGGCCUGGGACGUGGCGGAGCCCUGCAGCUUCUGUGCGGCCUGUUCUGGGCGUCGCGUUGAAACGCCAGCCAGUUCCCCAACAGAAAGAGCAUACGGGAGAGAUGAAGCAGUCCACUCCAAGAACAUUCUCAUCCUACGGAUUACGAGGAUGGACGUAGAACUACUCUAGGAAAUUCCUCAAACACUGCCAAGUACUUCAUGGCUGAAAGCCAAAUAUUCAGUCCCCCUGGGAUUACAGGAGUGUUGAAGAAAUGUUGUGACACAUCAGAACACCGCGAAAUACAUGGACACUUUCAAAUCAUGGAAGACUCAAGAGUCCUUGUUUUUGCCCAGUAUUAUAAACUGAGUUACAUAAAGGCAGAGCAAAUGCUAAAGCAAACUGUCCAGAAGGAAGGACAGCAGUAAGUGGAGAGACGUUAUUGCAAACAAGCACCUGGCAACAGCUGUGUUAGUUGCCCACCAGGUAUUUUUGAAAAAAGUACUCUGUGAAAAACAGAAACUGCAAGCAAGACAGAUACCAGGAUUAGGGAUCACGGUGACUUCUACCAUCGCUGGAUACUCCCAAAAGGGUUCUCGAGACAGCAGCUGUGUCUGCCCUGCUUUGGCAUUCUUUCCCAGGCAUGGCGACCGUAAGUCAAAAUGUAAUCCUUAGCUGGUCAUACAAGCCCUGUCAUUACUCAUAUAUGCAGAUGAUAUUUUAAAUUCUUCCAGUUUUUUUUUAGGGAGGAGUAUUAAAACAUGAGUAAAAAUUAAUUUGUGGGCUCACUGACAAUGGGGUUUAAUUUGCAUUUUUAUCCUCAUUGAUUAGCACCAAGCCCAGAAGAACUUGUGUUCAUUAAGAACUUGUUGAUUGAGCAGCUAGAAAGGGGCUUGUCUUCCAUAAGGAGAUCUCUACUCUUGUGGGUUUUACUCUCUAGCAGAGGGACAUGAGCAACAGACAAUAAAAUAAAUAUUACAUGGUAUAUUUGAACAAUAUAAAUGCCACGAAAAUGAAAAAUAAAAGUGCAGAGCAAGGAAGAGAGAUGAGAAGGCCAACUGAGAUCUUAAAUGAAGUGGGGAUGGUGGGCCUCACAGAGAGGAGAUGACACACUUGAAGAAGGUGAAGGGGCAAGCACAGAUACUCUGGGGAAUGUGCAUUCCUGCCAGGACCAUCAGUGCUAAAGCCGUAAGUGGAGGUGUGCCUGGCACUUGCCAGGAAUAAUGAGGAAGGGGAGGUGGCAGAGGAGAGCUGAGCUGCCAGGAGAAUGGCACAGGACAUUGGAGGGCUGAUGAGGUCCAGAUGACAUGUGGCUUCACAAACCAUUGCAAGGAUAUGGCAUCUGCUCUGAGUCAAAUGGAAAUUUAUUGCAGGAUUUGAAAAAAGAGUGAUGGCUGUGUCCAGUGGCUCAUGCCUAGAAUCCCAGCACUAUGGGAGGCCGAGACAGGCAGAUCACUUGAGCCCAGGAGUUUUAGACCAGCCUGUGCAACAGGGUGAAACCUCGUUUCUACCAAAAAUACAAAAAUGCAUGGGCGUGGUGGCACAUGCAAAUAGUUCCAGCUAAUCAGGAUGCUGAGGUGGGAGGAUCACUUGAGCUCUGGCAAGUGGAGCCUGCAGUGAGCUGAGAUCACCACCACACUCCAGUCUGGGCAACAGAAUGAGAUCCUGUCUCAAUAAAAAGAAAAAAGCGUUGAUGUGGUUUGGCUCUGUGUCCCCACCCAAAUCUCACCUUGUAGCUCUCUUAAUUCCCACAUGUUGUGAGAGGGACCCAGUGGGAGAUGAUUGAAUUACGGGAGCCAGUCUUUCCCAUACCGUUGUCAUGGUAGUGAAUAAGCCUCGAGAUCUGAUGGUUUGAUAAGGAGAAACUUGUUUCGCUUGGCAUUUAUUCUCUCUUUGCCUGCUGCCAUGCAUGUAAGAUGUGAAUUUUGCUCCACCUUGACUUCUGCCAUGAUUGUGAGGCUUCCCCAGCCAUGUGGAACUGUAAUUAAACCUCUUUCUUUUGUAAAUUCCCCAUUCUCAGGUGUGUUUUAUCAGCAGCAUGAAAACAAACUAAUACAAGAAUGAUAUAAUUUGGAUUUACGUUUGAAAAUACUUGAGACUAAUCUGUGUGUGGAUAGAGGUAGGAAAGGGGAAAGAAAUGGAGAUCCCUAGGAGGCUGUCAGUAAUACAG
rnacentral:lncRNA from 1 species